AUUACCUCAUGUAUUCGGGAAGGUUCUAGAACUUCCGUUUCGUUCCGAUGCUGACGUGGCGGUUGAGGAAGGUCCGGAAUUCUUCCGUUUCGUGGCGGUGAUGGAAUUCGACGACGGCGGAAGCGGCGGAGCGGGAGGUGUUAGGGUGCAGGCGGUUGAGAUUCAUACUGGUAUUACGAAGAUUGUGGUGAGAAAUGGCGCCGGAGAUGGCGGAGUUGAUGGCGGAAUAGAGGAGCUGUUGUUGGAAGAGCUGAAGGUGGAUACGUGGAGGUUCAGAUUGCCGGCUACGACAAUGCCGGAGCUGGCUACGGCUGUGUUUGUGGACGGUGAGUUAAUUGUGACGGUGCCAAAAGCUGGCCGUGGCGGCGGAGAGUUCGCCGACGGUAGAGAUGUUUGGGGUGGAGGUGGCCGGCUUGUUCUUGUACAGUAAGUAACCAGAAAAUUAAAAAAAAAA
rnacentral:misc_RNA from 1 species